AUCGGUGCCUAUGACGAUGAGGACCCACCCGUUCCCAUUCCGAACACGGAAGUUAAGCUCAUCAGUGCCGAAGAUACUUGGCGGGCGACCGCCUGGGAAAAUAGGUCGGUGCCGGUA
rfam:[Clostridium] cellulosi genome assembly, chromosome: I